rnacentral:lncRNA from 1 species
AAAGCAACAUUUUCUUCCUCAGGACCAAUUUAAUGUAAAUGAAGCUCUUUAACGGCUUUUCUUGCAUCAUCUUGACUUUGUUGUCUUUUUUGACUCUUCCUGGGGAAAUUAAUCUAGCCAAAAUUCUUUGUGAAAUAGAAAAAAGAGCAGUUGUGCUGACCUGAUAUCAGUAGACAUGUCUGCUGUACCAAGGCCACCUUCAUUUGGGUGUCCUUUUUUGGAGGAUUAUGUCACAAGACUUUCCUGAACAGCUUUAACCCCCUCUCCAUGAUCAGAAAAGAGAUUUCACAAGGAUACUUUCUCUCUUUAAAUUGUGUAGCUCUAAAAGAAAGUUCUAAAGAAAGAUUGGCAAUGCACUUUUCUUUACAGCCAUUAACAGGAGAAAGCAAAUGGUAUGGUAUUAAAUUCUUCGAGUCUGUGGGGAUGGUUUGUGUCUCAUGGGGAAGGAGGAUGCCUGGUGCGGCAGUGAGAAUGCUCAUCUCCCAGCAGGUGCUUUUCCCUGAGCACCAGUUGUUUUUCUGUUGUUGAGCAGUCAGCAUCUCCCUCAUCUGCUUGACUCAUCAUUGAGCCUCUACUUCCUUGGCAUCUUGUCUCACUGCCAUGAUGAAAUCCAGGAGGCCCUAAUAAAUGUGUCAUCCACAUCAUGCUUUAGAUCUUCUUGUUCGCACUAUCUGCUUUGGCUUCAGGCAGGAGAAGGAAGAAAUGUCCAUCAUUUAGGCUCUACUGAAAAUGAGCCAAAUUUCCCCAGUAGUGGUGGUAUGUUAUUUCAGAAGAGGUUUUUUGGAAACCCCUUGGAUGACCAUGUCAGCCUACAGUCAUCUUUCAUUGAUCACUGGCUGAAGACAAAAUUUCUGACCUUGUAUGACUCUUCUAUCUUCCACUCUUGAAUCUAAAUUACAACAAGUUUAAUAUGUUUGUUCCACUUUAAACAUGAUAUGGUGAAAGGAAAUUAAAUUAGAAGAAUAUGGGUUAACUAAUGGAACAGUCAUCUCUGGAUUAAUCUUGGAAUUAUUUUAUCUGAGUCUCAGUUUCUUCAUUUAGGUAAUGGUAAAAUACGUAUUCCACAGGAUUAUAGAAGUAAACAGAAAUAGUUUAUAAGCCAAUAAGUAUUCCAAAGCUAAUAAUUGUUAGCUUAUACCCAAUUUAUGCAUCCAUAUGGUUUAAUAUUACCACAUUAUAUUGUAUAUGUUCUAGGGGCUGGAAGUACUGUGUAUGUGACCAUUUUUUUUUUUCAUUUUAUUUGUGACCAUUUCUAAUACUAGUAGUGUGACAGGUACAGAUAGAGACUUAAUAUAUGCCAUGUGAGCAUGGAGUGAAUAAAUUAAUAACUGAUAAAAAGAAACUGAAAUUAAAAUAUAUAUAUAUAUUUGUGGAGUUCUAGAAUCAUAAACCUGUGAAGGAUCUUAAAGAUUAUAUAAUGUGUAUCGAUUUAUGGAAAAGUAAAGUCCAUAGAUAUCGUAGUCCCCUUAGCUAGUUCACCAUAGACCUGGGCCUGGUUCCGAGUCUCCUGACCUGACCCCUCUGCUAUCCCACCCCACUCUCCAUCGUGCUCAAUGCCGUUAUAACCUGGUCUUCAUAAACUCUAGAUGCAAGUACCUUAGGUAAACACGAAAUGUCACCAAUUAGAAGAGAGGGAUAACUUAGAUCCCACAGUAUAUCUGCCACAUGAACAAAAUCUCACAAUCAACUUGUACAGCAUCCAUCAUUUUCAUUUGGCUCCUCCCUCGCCCACACCCAACAGGAGGGGUUGGUUUAACUCAUUUUGCUUCUCUGACCUCUACUUUUGUCUUUUGUCUUUCUGUGGUCAUCACAGAUACAUUCAUGAUUCUGCAAGACGGUAGGGAAUACUGGGAUUUUCUUUUUUGGAUCCACCUGUGGCAUGCAGAAGUUCCCAGGCUGGGAAUCGAACCUGUGCCACAGUAGUUGCUGGAGCCCCAGCAGUGGCAACACCAGAUCCUUAACCCAUUGAGCUACAAGAGAACUCCUGAAGUCUCUUUUUUUCCCUCUCCCUCCAGUGGGAAAUAUCCUGUGACAUCCAGAAAUAGGUUUCUGAUAUUCAUUCUAAAGAUUGUGAACCUGGGUUUUACGCUCAUAUUUGACUUGUUAAUCUAGGGUUGAAAGGCAGUAAAAUGAGGUCCAGAUAAACUUCCAUACUGAAGUCAAAGGUUGAUAUAUUUAGUAGUAAGAAUGGAGUCCAUUCUGUUAUAACCAAAUCAAUUCCUUUUAAAAGAGACAUAACAUUUCCCAAGAUUCAAACCAAGCCCCCAAACUUAAUUUAGAGGGAGGUUGGAAAACUGCUGUUGGCAAAUAAGUUGACCAAAUGACAAUCUUAACAGGCCUCAGUUUCCUCUGUAAAACACGGAUAAUGACCUAUUAGCAAUGCUAAAAGCAGGCUACAAAGAGGUAAUAAAUUUAAGGCACUUAGCACAGUACCUGGCAUAUAGUAAGUACUAUAAAAGGAAAAAUAUUUUCUCAAAAUAAACUGAAUUUGAAAAAAGAAAAAAAAAUCUCAUUUUGUACUAACGAGAGAGUGAUAUUUGUGGGUUAUACUGGAAUGGGUACAGACAUGAGUUUGUGUUGUGUUAACUGCUUGGAUUGGGAACACAGAAAAUGAGUCAGGCUCUAGUUCACUGGUCCCCUCUAACUCUGCGGGGUGUUAGCUUGAGAUUUCCGAGCUAUUCCAAAUAGAAAGCAAGUUAACCACUUAGAUCAUGUUUUAUAGGUGAGUAUGAAAAAUGGUUUUGAUUCACUAAAUUUUUAGUUUGAUUAGUUUAAGCACUUCCUAAACUGUGUUUGAAUUUAGGUAACACUGCCCGAUUCCAAAAGUGCUUUUAACACCAGUCCCUGGAGUUGUUAGAGUUCUCAUUUCUGAAUUAUUUCUAACUGAUUUCUUGAAUGGUCUGGCUCAGUGUAGCACUGGCAUCAGACAAUGGCCCAAAGAAAAAGCAUAGGAAAUGUGUAAAAAGACUCCUCUUAUUGGCUGUAUGGCCUGUAGAUAAGAGACAGCACCAUAUGAAAGUAUAGCUGAUUAGAAUGGAUAAUUAGGGGAAAAAAAAGCUAGGGAUGGUAUAAAUUUUCAUUAUCAAAUUUUUAAUAAAUUGCCUUUUCUAAUUUUAUCUUAUUCACAUCUGUUUUAUCUAAUUCAUUUCAAAGUGGUAGGCAUCAUUAUUCUGAAACAAAAUAAUCAAACUUCUUUAUUAGAGAAUCUGAAUUCAGUUUUCUGAAAGUAGUUUGGAAUUGGAAAUAUAUUUUAAUUAAGCAUUUUAAUGUAAUAAGAGCCUUAGACUUGUAGUACCUCAAAAGAUGACUAAGUUCUUUUAAGCUUCCUCUAAUUUGAGAGGGAAAAAGGAGUGAUAACUUUGAACUAACUUUUUAAAUAGCCUGAAAAAAUAAGGACACAGAUUUCUUUCUUCCCUUUCUUCCCAUACAUUGGGAAGGUCUCACAGUGUUGAAAAACACUCUUUCAGUUUUUAAACUAUUUCCCUUCAGUUUCUGUUCUAUUAAUAAACCAUUGAAUUACCCUGUUGACUAAUCAUCUUGUCCAAAAUUUUAUUUCUUUAUUGAAACUUAAAUCUUAAAGCAUAAUAAGUCAUCCAUCUGUUCAAUAGCAUUUAUCUAGUGCUGCUGUUUCCCUAGGUCAUGAAUUUGUUAAUUUGCGUUAAGAUCUUCCUCUGUACUCAUGGAGCUCAUUUGCCUUUGUCACCUACCGUGGUCCAAGCCUUCCAGAGACACUCACCCGGCACACUUAGAGUGUCCCUGAUAGUCACAGCUUCAGGUUAUGACUGUUGAUUUUCUUUGAUCUUCAUCUCUAUGACCCUUGACUCUUUCUAGUGACAUUUUUGUGUCUUCUUACUAUUUACUCAACUGAAAAUUAACCAGAUU